rnacentral:rRNA from 1 species
UGCUGCAGUUAACGCAAUAAGUUCUCCGCCUGGGGAGUAUGCACGCAAGUGUGAAACUCAAAGGAAUUGACGGGGGCCCGCACAAGCGGUGGAGUAUGUGGUUUAAUUCGAAGCAACGCGAAGAACCUUACCAGGCCUUGACAUGGAUAUAAAUGUUCUAGAGAUAGAAAGAUAGCUAUAUAUCACACAGGUGGUGCAUGGUUGUCGUCAGCUCGUGUCGUGAGAUGUUGGGUUAAGUCCCGCAACGAGCGCAACCCUUGUCUUCUGUUACCAGCAUUAGGUUGGGGACUCAGGAGAGACUGCCGGUGACAAACCGGAGGAAGGUGGGGAUGACGUCAAAUCAUCAUGCCCCUUAUGGCCUGGGCUACACACGUACUACAAUGGCGCCUACAAAGAGCAGCGACACCGCGAGGUGGAGCGAAUCUCAUAAAGGGCGUCUCAGUUCGGAUUGAAGUCUGCAACUCGACUUCAUGAAGUCGGAAUCGCUAGUAAUCGCAGAUCAGCAUGCUGCGGUGAAUACGUUCUCGGGCCUUGUACACACCGCCCGUC